UCCGUUGUAGUCUAGUUGGUUAGGAUACUUGGCUCUCAUCCUAAGACCUGGGUUCCAGUCCCGGUAAUGGAA
rnacentral:tRNA from 1 species